rnacentral:rRNA from 1 species
UACGUAGGGUGCGAGCGUUGUCCGGAAUUACUGGGCGUAAAGGGUGUGUAGGUGGCGCCGUAAGUCGGGUGUGAAAUUUCGGAGCUUAACUCCGAAACUGCAUUCGAUACUGCGGUGCUUGAGGACUGGAGAGGAGACUGGAAUUCAUGGUGUAGCAGUGAAAUGCGUAGAGAUCAUGAGGAAGACCAGUGGCGAAGGCGGGUCUCUGGACAGUUCCUGACACUGAGACACGAAGGCCAGGGGAGCAAACGGGA